UGUGCACUGCCAAUAGCUACCUUCUUCAUCUUUCUUAUUUGGUUUUGCAAGUAUGGUCCUCUUUUUCUCCUUUUUAAUCAUUGUUACCAUCUUCAUUAUUGGUUAUUGCAGAAGAGCUAUCAACAAAGGAAUUGGUGUUGAUAACAUGCAUUCUCUCAAUGAUGGUCUAUGGAAGAUGGAAGGGUUAGACAGAGGAUGAGUCAAGCAACUUGAUCAAUGUAAGAAUGCAAUGUUGAUGCCAUGUACUUCUAAGUUGAUAUACUUGUGUAGUGUUUGCUGGUCCUACUUCAGGGUUUGGAGGGGUUGGGAGUGGGUUUUUCCUCUUCUAGUGAUCAAAGCAUCUGGUUACAUUGAAUGGGGGUAGUAAAUAUUCAUCUUAAUUUUCAUUCUCCUUGGAAAUGGUUAAAGAGGAUAUUGGCUUGGGAGGGUCU